rnacentral:lncRNA from 1 species
GGGAAAACUAAGAUUGAUUUUGGAAUGAAACAUGCAGUCUCAACUUAAGAACACCCAAUUUACAAAACUAUAUAUAUCCAGACAGAGUCAUACUGAAUGCCAUGUUCUCCCACAUCAAUGUCAAAUGCUUAGCAUGGCCAGCAAAAAGCUGUUCCUUUGCUGUAAUGCAACCGUGUCUUCUGAAUAUGGAUCCAUAUUCACUUUCCAUCUUAUCCUCCAUCAGACACACUCUUCUUUUCCUAAAGCAUUUGCAGGGCAACAGAGGGUUCCAGGUUUCAGAAUUUAAACAGUCGUAUCUCAUUGAAAAUAAGUUUAAUGAUUAUUAAGUUUCCAAGCUAGAUUACAGAAGUCUUUUUAGCCCAUAUCAUAAAUAAAAUAGUUCUGAAUUUUUCGUAUGGAAAAAUAUACUCUGAGUUCCAAGCAAACAACUUAAGAAAAUUUUUAGAACUAACACAUUCCUAUAUUGGGAAGAGCUCAAAAGUCUGUUCUUCCUCCCCAUCCACUGUUGUUUAAUUAAUCUCUUAAUAUCAUAAAGUCCCUCAUGUGCCAAGUGUAGACAGUCAUUUUUGAAUCAGGGCUCACUUUGUUAGCUUUUUUGUCAAUUAAACCUCUUUUCUAUAUAAAUUACCGAGUCUCAAGUAUGUCUUCAUAGCAGUGUGAAAACAGACUAAUACAGGAAUUUGGUACCAGGAGUGGGGCAUUGCUAUAAAGAUACUUGAAAGUGUGGAAGCACCUUUGGAACUGGGUAACGGGUAGAGGUUGGAAGAGUUUGGAGGGCUCAGAAGAAGACAGGAAGAUGAAGGAAAGUUUGGAGCUUCCUGGAGACUUGUUGAAUGGUUUUAACCAAAAUGCUGACAGUGAUGUGGACGAUUAAGUCCACACUGAGGUGGUCUCAGAAGGAGAUGAGGAACUUAUUGGGAACUGGAGUUGCCAAUAGAUCAGCAGUUAACCAGAAGCUUGAGUUGAGUAUGGACCUGACAUAUGGAUAGACAUAUUGACAUCUUAUGCUAGUGUUCUGGCCCUCCCUGCCCCGACAGUGAUAGAAGCAUCCAUCAACGCCCAUCCUGACAUCAGCAUAAAGCACAGGUUGGAGAGAUUGUAGAUAAAGGCAGAGAGGCUAUUAUAAUGCUUCUCACCUCCAGUUCCCCAGAUGGAAGACAAGGAGGCCCUGGAACAAAGGAAUGGCAUUUGGGACAAAGUGAUGUUGGCAAGUAAGAAAUGCAGCAGUGGUCCAACCCACAGGAGAUGCCAGACAAUUGCUCAUGGCAUGAGAUAGGGUCAUGAGGAAAAGCUGAAGAACUGAAAAUCUUUCUUCUUCCCUCCCUAGGCAUCUUUAAAGUGAGUCACCCCUCCUCACAAUCUACUCCAAAAUUUCCAACAAGUUUUCUUCUUUUCAUUCUUCCUCCCACCAGCCUAUCCUAUUCCCUUCUCUCCCCCCACAAAAUCUAGCUCUUCUUUAAAUACAUUUAAACAUUUUCGCUAGGACAUUUCAUCUAUACAGGAUAUGCUAUAUUCUAACUAUUUCUUAGUAAACAUUGAAGGGAGUUUCUUCCUUUAUUCAAGUAUGGAACCCUGCUCAAUAUCCUUUUGGUCUUCAUAUGCCUUCUUUCAAGGCCUUUGUGAAAUUUUUUUCCAUGCCUGAAAGCCGGUGGGGUUUUACACAGGGACUGCGAUGGCUAAAUCCAAGGCAGAGUGGGAUCUUUAUCUAUUAACCAUUUGAUAACUCAAGUUUAUCCCUUGAUGAAUGAAUAAGUUAUCAUUUGCCUUUGGGUCCCAUUCUUGAGUGGUCAUGGAGAGUUCUGUAGCUCACCCUCUUUAUACUCAUAAUUUGCACAAAUUUCACCUAAGAGUAUUUACUUAACCACUUUAAUUCAAUUUGUCUCUACCUAAGACAUUUAAUUCAACAAAUAUUUUUUAAGCUUCUCUAUAAAAGGGACUCUGGCAACUUUCAGACCCGCACUGUAGCACCAGCUCUCUGCUGGCCCACCCCUUGCAGACUUUGGGCUUGCCUGCCUUCAAAAUCAUGUGAGUCAAUUCCUUAAAAUAAAUAUAUUUUUAUUUAUUUAUAUAUAUGUUUGCACACACACGCGAAUCUUAUUUUUUCUGUUUCUCUGGAGAAUUCUGACUAAUGCACCCCCAUUCACCAUCCAGGCUUUUGAGGAGAAAGAUACCAAUCUUAGCAGCAGAGGACACUCUGGAUAGAGCUAGGAGUUUGUUGCAGAGUCUGACAAAAGUUCCCUCUGCAGAAGGGAUGGAAGGAUAGCCUUGGGGGUUGAUUUAGGACUGGGUGUAUGACAUGGGGGAAAAGAAAUCCCUGGGGGAGCUAAAUGAGGGGAGGUGGACCCCUUAUGAUAGUUUAUCAGAGCAAUCUAAGAAAUCAUGUAGGCCUCUAAGAAAGCAUCAAGAAUCAAUGCAAUUUGAUUAAUUGACUUAAAAUAUGUUGAACUUUUCAGCCUCCAUUGUGUAUUUUUGGUGCAAUACUCUGUGCAACUAUUUCAUCCAAGACCAGAAGGGGCUGGAAGAUUGCCUGCUUCACAUUAAAACCCUCCUUAUUGUAUUGGUGCUGACACGACACAAGGAUAUGCAGUCUUUAUCCAGUCCUUAUUGCUCACAGAAAGAUACCAGUCCUUACUGCUCACAGAAAGUAGUGAAGCCUCCCUUCACUCACAGAGCCCACACAGGUAUGCCCUGGUUUAUGUAAUGAAUGGGCUGCUACAAAUAGGUGUGAUGCAUGCCUUUGUGAAUCACUUUAUAUUUUGAAGACACAUUAGAGGAGCUGGCUAUUUCAAAGAAAUUUCACAAGUGCCUCAUUUCUUAAUGUCACAAGCAUUUCUGAUUUAUAAUCAUAACCCCUUUCUAAUGUAUUAGCUUAUGAAGUUCCAUUUUUUGCCUAAGAGGUUUAAUCAAAGCAAGAUAAAACUAUGCUUAAUAAUAUUCAGUUACCUGAAAGAGCUAUUGCAGAAAUGCCUAAUAUAUUACCAGAAAGUAGCUUAAUGUCUCAAAUAAAUGUCAAGUUGUCCAAAUCAAACUGAUAGGCAGCUUAAUGAGGGAUAAAUGUCAUAAUUAUCCAUAUUUCUCCACAUUUUUUUUAGAAAAAAACAUUCACACAAUGAAGGGAAUCAGAAUCUGUUUUUAUAUCCCUAGAGUUAUAAACAUUUGUAUCAAAAUAUUUACAAUUAUAGUA